GUGGUAUGCUCAGAGUGGAGGACCUACAGAAAUAAUUAUUCUGUUUAUGACACACCAAACAGGAACCUGGGUUUACCAAUGAGGGUCACAAACCUUGUAAUUUUCUUAUGACCGCAUACCCUAUACAC